GGGCUGCCGAAGCGGCCGCUGCCCAUGGAGGCGGGAGGGAGGCCCGAGCUGUUCGUGCCAGCGGGCGCCGUGGGCCUCCCGCCACGGGGGGAAAGCUGCGUGCGAGCCGAGACCUGCCCGCGGGCUACCGGCGCGACGCUUUGGUUUGGGAAGGAUGUGCUUUGGAGGCACGACUCCUGAAAGACACCCGGAGGACGGCAUGCUGUUGCACAGGCGUUGGGACACGGCAGCGAGGAACAGGCAAUGCAGUUCUGGAUGGUGUACAGAAAAGCAUAAUGACACAGGCGAGGGCGGUGGAAUUUGGGCCCUCACAUUUUCCUGCAGGAGGAAUUGAGCGCACGGUGAUAGAAGCGUGCACAUCUUUCGCACUCUGUAAAACUGAGGGGUCGGCAGCUCAGCUGGGCCCUGCCGUGGGAUCCCCAUGCAAAGCUCCCGGUGAGCAGAACUGCUCUCGGCUUGCAGGUGUUACUCGAUGGGUGUCUCCAAAAACCAGGCUGGGAGUUCAGAACGGAGCAGCUGAUAUAAUCCGAAGUGGGGCUGAAGCAGCGGGGGCCGGGGGGGGGGGGGCGGGGAGGCCUCUCCAGGCAUUCUCCUCAUUCUCAGCUGGGCGAUUAUUUCAUAAUAUACGAGGAGUCCAGCUGGCCUCCCUCCAGGCUGCCACAGCCCCUCACCACCCGCUGAGACCUCGGUGGGAGCAUGCCGCGGCUGCCAGGGAAGAGGGCGAGGGACCUUUUCCCAGCCCCACGCUCAGGCUGGCACGCUCCCGCCUCAGCGGGACCUCCGCGAGGCCUUCCCCCACCGGCCUCCCAUCCCCGAAAGGGAAAGCUGGACCGCCCCAAAAACGCCAGCAGCGAGGAACUCGCCCUGCCCGUGCCGACGCGUAGCUGAAGAGCUGAGAGAUCCUGCCGACGGUCCACGCUGGCUGCGAACAUCUCGUUUGUUUUGACUUUCUCCCUUUCCACCCAAAGCUGAGCCGUCGGGCCUGACAGCUGGCCGCUGAUCUAGGCUGCACGUGCUGCAGAUGGCUCAGCUGUGGCACGUAGGCAGCUGCCGGGUAAUUUUUGCUCCUGGGGUUUCCAGUGCUGGGAAGGAACACGCCUUGGGCCAGUCUGGCCCUGCUGGUGCCUACACUGGGGCUCUCCGCCGAUGAAUGGGGGACGGCACAUGCGGCGCAACAGCAGCAGCCGGGGAGCAGUGCAGCUGCCCUGGGGGCGCAGGGGGAAGAACAGCCCCUGGGUUUCACGACUGGUGCAGUGUUCUGUGAUGAAGUGGUGCGAAGGGAGUGCCAGAUUCCCAGGAAAUCCUCCCAGGCUUUGAGUCAUGGUUACGCGUGCGUGGUAAAAAGCGCCCCUCUAAGGUUAGCUGUUCAAGUCUUGAGGCUCUCACUGAAAAGCAGGGCUGGUAGCAUCCUCGAGCCCUCAUCAAAUUUAUCUUUCUAUACCAAGGCAUGAUGGACACUCCCUCGCAUUAUAUACACUUAAGCAAAGCAUUUGUGAUCUGUUCUUCAAAGCCGCCAGCACUUAAGAUUGCUUAAUUGUCACGUGCCUCACACUGGCUUUCUUGUUAGAUCAUUCUCCAAUGUCUAGCCAGCUAUGUUUUGAUGCCUUCCUUCUCCUUUCACAACAGGAAAGAUCGGAUUAUGCUCUUGCUCUUUCCAGAUUCAAAGACUUACUCUCUUGCUUUCUUCUGGUGUGUUCUUGGUAAGCAGCAGCUGUACCUGUAGUCACCCCUGCACUACUGUGCCUGCUCUAGAUUACCUCAGAGGCAACUGAUGUGAAAUUUCCCCUUUGUCAGUUUAUCCCACACAUACAGGAGAUGCUUGUCCACUUGCUUUUUCCAUCUUGAUUUCUAGCCGAGAAGGAAUUGAAGAUAAAUAGCCACAAAACUAAGACAACUCACCCUUUCCUAACAUCUUGAUUUAAAACCUGAAACUAAACAGCGACUCCCUCUGGUGUAUGGAAGAUGAGGCCGAAGAUUCCCAUGAGCAGUGUCUCUCCAAACAUCCUUCAAUUCUCCCCCAUCACAGUGGAAGAAAUUAGGUGAAAAAGAUCACGAGGUGAGGAGUCUGUGGCACUUUAAAAACACUAGUGUCAUUCUGAGCUUGUGGCUUCUUAGAAAUCAGAGCUACACCCUAGGCACGAUCGGAAACAGAUCCCAUGAUCCUAUUGCUUCAAGGGAGGACAUGAAGCAAUAGCAUCUCUUUUCCUGCAGGUCAGUGAAAUCAAUUUCUGUAGUGAAAUAACAGCUCCUGGGGACAGGCACACCAUGGUAAAUCAUUACCAUAAUCUUUUGCAACUUUAAUUGCAAACAGAUAUAUCUAUAAAUUGUCACCGAGAGCACCACUGCUACUUGUCUGGACGUUGCCCAGUACAAACAGGCCCUUAGUCCACGCCUGAUGUCCUUAGGUGCUGCCACUAUUUCUAGAUUUUGAUUUUUCCCCAUCCACAGGAGAUUUUCAGAUUUUUGGCUUUAGUACAAAACAACUUUUAAAAGCUGAGGAGUUUAAGGCUGCUGUGCUGCUGGCAUAGAAAUAAGAGGAGGGCUCUGGGGACCACUUUGGAAGAUGACAUUUAAGGUAGGAUUGGAAAGGACAAUCUAGCUUCAAGAUGGUCACAACCCACAGCAGUUCUGCUAAAAUACUCAUUUUUCAGACCUAGAAAGGUCUUACUAUAAAGCCCUUUUUAAAGCUAUUGCUUCACUAUCCAUAAAGCUAUUUAUCUGUAAUUCGCUUAGCUCUCAUUAUAAUUUAAGGAGAAACAACAAGUAGUCAACAGCAGACUGGUAUCUCUCAAAGCCUUGAACAUGGGCAAGCCUUACAGGUUCAUGCCAUGGGUUUCCAUAUUCUCAGCUGACAACAAGCUACAGAACCUCGGGAGGUUGAUGCUGCUACAUCUCAUCUCAGCAUCUACCUGUGUGAGCAGUACAGUUUGCUGAUCUGUGAAGCCAAUACUAUGACCCACAUGAAACAAGUCAGGGUUCAGCCCGUUUCCAUGAAGGUUGACAGCCAUCACACAUGCAAAAAAAUCUCGUUUGUGGGAUUUUUUUUGUCUCAGGUGCUGCAGGGCUUUAGAAGGCAACGGGGACUACUAUUCUAGGUCAUAGAUCACAAUUUCCGUAUCCUUCACUUCGAUUAACAUAUCAAAUCCCUGCUGAAGACACUAAGGAAAACUGGUCACUUCUGUUUAAAGAAAAUGCUCAAACUAAAGCAGCACUCCAGGAAUGAGUCUAGAACUCAUUUUCACAAAUUUGGUAAACAUCAGACAUACUAUGAGUGGAAAAAAACCUAUGUGUCCCCAACCCUGAAAUGACAAGAGAAAACAAAACACGGGAGCAAAACCAAAAAGAUCUAGUAGAUGUAAAGAGAAUCUGUCAUCACCAUACUUGUCCCGCUAAGAGGACACUCCAGGAAAAAGCACAAUCCAGAGCCUGGACAGAGAAAAAGAAGAAAACCAGACUCCCUGAUCAGUUUAAUUCUAUGUGGUAA